AUACGGAGGGGGCUAGCGUUAUCCGGAAUCAUUGGGUUUAAAGGGUCCGCAGGCGGUCAAUUAAGUCAGAGGUGAAAGCCCAUCGCUCAACGAUGGAACUGCCUUUGAUACUGGUUGACUUGAGUUAUACGGAAGUAGAUAGAAUAAGUAGUGUAGCGGUGAAAUGCAUAGAUAUUACUUAGAAUACCGAUUGCGAAGGCAGUCUACUACGUAUAUACUGACGCUGAGGGACGAAAGCGUGGGGAGCGAACAGGAUUAGAAACCCUAGUAGUCC
rnacentral:rRNA from 1 species